rnacentral:rRNA from 1 species
UACGUAGGGGGCAAGCGUUUGUCCGGAUUUAUUUGGGCGUAAAGAGCGUGUAGGCGGCUUGGUAGGUCCGCUGUGAAAACUCGAGGCUCAACCUCGAGAUGUCGGCGGAAACCACUUGGCUAGAGUCCGGAAGAGGAGAGUGGAAUUCCCGGUGUAGCGGUGAAAUGCGCAGAUAUCAGGAGGAACACCGGUGGCGAAGGCGGGUCUCUGGGCCGUAACUGACGCUGGAGGAGCGGAAAGCGUGGGGAGCGAACAGG